rnacentral:tRNA from 1 species
AGCCCGGUGCGCCGGCCGAGGCGCCGCCGCUGUGGCUGGCGAUCGAGGCGCGCCGGCUGUGCCGCCCGAUCACCGCCGGCCCGGACAA